GCUCUGAUUGGCCAAGCGGGCCAGCUGUUAGUGGUUCAUUCACCAUUUUGUGACUGUAGUGGAAAAGGGAUUCAUAUAGUUUUUAAUCCCUGUCUUAGUUGCUGUUGGGAGGGGGUCGAAGAUGUUUUACGGAGGACCGAUCUAAAGUAAAAUUCCCGACAGACAGAAGACGUGGAUUGACGCUGCUCACCACUUCAGACGAAAGCACAGAGCCCAUCUGCAAUUUGCAGCGUAAAUCCAUCGCUUACCUCCUAAGUAUUUCUGCUGUUUUGUAACCAGGAAGGAAAUCUCUCUCCGUUGCAAAUAAACAGUUUAAGGGUGUUGUGAGGAAAAGAAAAAGAGACCUCAAAAGAUUUAAUUAAACAAGAGAAAAGAAGGAAGAAAAAAGGUGAGAAAGACA
ensembl:lncRNA